rnacentral:rRNA from 1 species
UACGUAGGUGGCAAGCGUUGUCCGGAAUUAUUGGGCGUAAAGCGCGCGCAGGCGGAUCAGUCAGUCUGUCUUAAAAGUUCGGGGCUUAACCCCGUGAUGGGAUGGAAACUGCCAAUCUAGAGUAUCGGAGAGGAAAGUGGAAUUCCUAGUGUAGCGGUGAAAUGCGUAGAUAUUAGGAAGAACACCAGUGGCGAAGGCGACUUUCUGGACGAAAACUGACGCUGAGGCGCGAAAGCCAGGGGAGCGAACGGG